rnacentral:rRNA from 1 species
AAUAUGUUUAAUAAUCGAAUCUACAAGAUUACUUUAACUUUUAAUAAUAUUUUAUAUACCGCCGUUUAGAAUAUAAAUAAAAAAAUUUUAUUCAAAAUAAAUUUCUAGAAAUUUAGGUAAAGGUGUAAACUAUAUAAGAGAUAAAAUGUAUUACAUUAAAAAAAAUUUAAGGAUUAAACUAAACAUAGUUUUAAGAAAAAGGAUUUAUAAGUAUAAUUUUAUUAAAAUUAUAAUUUGAAUUAAAAAUAAAUGUA